rnacentral:rRNA from 1 species
GUGUCAGCCGCCGCGGUAAUACGGAGGGGGCUAGCGUUGUUCGGAAUUACUGGGCGUAAAGCGCACGUAGGCGGCUUUGCAAGUCAGAGGUGAAAGCCCAGGGCUCAACCCUGGAAUUGCCUUUGAGACUGCAUCGCUAGAAUUGUGGAGAGGUAAGUGGAAUUCCGAGUGUAGAGGUGAAAUUCGUAGAUAUUCGGAAGAACACCAGUGGCGAAGGCGACUUACUGGACACAUAUUGACGCUGAGGUGCGAAAGCGUGGGGAGCAAACAGGAUUAGAAACCCUAGUAGUCC